UACGAGGGGAGCAAGCGUUGUUCGGAUUUACUGGGCGUAAAGGGCGGGUAGGCGGCCACCGCAAGUCGACUGUGAAAUCUCCGGGCUUAACCCGGAAAGGUCAGCCGAUACUGCGGGGCUAGAGUGCAGAAGGGGCAACUGGAAUUCUCGGUGUAGCGGUGAAAUGCGUAGAUAUCGAGAGGAACACCUGCGGCGAAGGCGGGUUGCUGGGCUGACACUGACGCUGAGGCGCGAAAGCUAGGGGAGCGAACGGG
rnacentral:rRNA from 1 species